GGUGAGCUAAGCAUGUAGAGCCGGGGAUUAAACGCCUUCGGACGCGGGUUCGACUCCCGCCACCUCCACCA
rnacentral:tRNA from 1 species